GCCCAGGCGACUGUUUAGCAAAAACACAGGUCUCUGCAAAACCGUAAGGUGACGUAUAGGGGCUGACGCCUGCCCGGUGCUGGAAGGUUAAGAGGAGUGCUUAGCUUCGGCGAAGGUACGAAUUGAAGCCCCAGUAAACGGCGGCCGUAACUAUAACGGUCCUAAGGUAGCGAAAUUCCUUGUCGGGUAAGUUCCGACCCGCACGAAAGGCGCAACGAUCUGGGCACUGUCUCAACGAGAGACUCGGUGAAAUUAUAGUACCUGUGAAGAUGCAGGUUACCCGCGACAGGACGGAAAGACCCCGUGGAGCUUUACUGCAACCUGAUAUGGAAUGUUUGUACCGCUUGUACAGGAUA
rnacentral:rRNA from 1 species